rnacentral:lncRNA from 1 species
GAGUUCAAAGGGUUUGAAACAAUGUAUCAGAAGAGGAUGAGCGUGUUAGGAAAAGAUGAAAAUCAUUUGUUUGCAUUGUUGAGUGAGAAGCAACUAUGCUAGUGGGUUUCCGGGAUGUUGCACCAUCUUCUUUUGGAUAACAAAUUGGUUUAUAAAAAUAUAAUAAACUAUAGUUUAAGAGAUAGAUGCAGUAGGUGUGAACGCAUGGAUUACCAACCAACCAUUCAUAUGACCUCAUGGCUUCU